rnacentral:misc_RNA from 1 species
UUCUUGAAGCCGAUAGCGUCCUUUUCGCUGAAAGCUUCAACGACGGGUGGGAAAGAACCAUCGGCUCCUUCAAGAUCGGUAUUGAGCAUAGGCAAAGGUGAUAUGUCAAUGUAAUCGAUUUGAAGACCAUUCACUGACUCCUUGCUUAAUUCCAUUGCUGCACGAAUGAGGCCACGGUUAUAGGAUGCUUUGCGAAGAGAGCCAGAAAGAGCGACGACUUUGAUGACUGGGUUUGCUGCCAGAACUGCCUCCAUAUUUCAGGUUCUUUGUUGUACUGAUAUGGUUUAUAUGGCAGAGGGAGAAAAAGCAGUGAAUU